CCUACGGGAGGCAGCAGUGAGGAAUAUUGGUCAAUGGGCUUACGCCUGAACCAGCCAAGUCGCGUGAGGGAAGACUGCCCUAUGGGUUGUAAACCUCUUUUGUCAGGGAGCAACGCCGGCUACGUGUAGCCGGACUCAGAGUACCUGAAGAAAAAGCAUCGGCUAACUCCGUGCCAGCAGCCGCGGUAAUACGGAGGAUGCGAGCGUUAUCCGGAUUUAUUGGGUUUAAAGGGUGCGUAGGCGGAAUGUCAAGUCAGCGGUAAAGUCGCGGGGCUCAACCUCGCGCCGCAGUUGAUACUGGCGUUCUUGAGUGGGCGAGAAGUAUGCGGAAUGCGUGGUGUAGCGGUGAAAUGCAUAGAUAUCACGCAGAACUCCGAUUGCGAAGGCAGCAUACCGGCGCCCAACUGACGCUGAAGCACGAAAGUGUGGGUAUCGAACAGGAUUAGAUACCCUUGUAGUC
rnacentral:rRNA from 1 species